UUUAAUGUUUUAUGUGUGUGUGUGUGUAUAUUAUGUAUUCAAUUGUGUGUAUGCAUGUAUGUAUUUGUGAACUUGGCGGAUAGAUAAAUAAACCAGACCAAACCAAACUAAGCCCUUGUGUCUCAAUCAGGUUGGUUCGGAUAGAUAAAGUCACAUCUCAUAAUAUGACACAUUUGUCUUCACAUAUAUCCAAAUGUAUUGGCCGAGGAGAGAUUCAAACAAAUUAUUGAUACAUUAUCAAAUUCUAAUUCCACAUAUUCUGUAAGUUUUUCUGUCCUGGAAGCAUAGAAUUCUAGUUUGAAAUUGUACUGCUAUAAUUAAUUUCAUCCUAAACCUUAUUUAUGAGUAUUGGUGGUCCCUGACACUAGGUUCUCUGCUGUUAGUCAUAUGAAUUUGGAUUUUGGGUUCCUAUCAUUAGAGAACUUCAAAGCUGCCCUUUCAAGUAUCCAAAGGCAGCCAAAGGUGGAAUGUUUAAAAGGUUAUUGCUGUUGCCCUAGGGUUCAUUGCAUCUGAUAUGACUGCUAAGCUUGGGGGAGACAUUGAGAAGAAAAUCUUGGAAACCAUCCCCUUGAAACUCAUUUUGAAUCGUUUAACAUGAAUCGAAUUGUGAAUGAUGCGAUUCACCAUCGAUUCUGUCCCAAAAUAGAUUCACAUCGAUCUAUGCAUGAAUCAUGAAUUGAUUCGUGAAUCA